AUUGAACGCUGGCGGCAUGCCUUACACAUGCAAGUCGAACGGCAGCAUAGGAGCUUGCUCCUGAUGGCGAGUGGCGAACGGGUGAGUAAUAUAUCAGAACGUGCCCUAGAGUGGGGGAUAACUAGUCGAAAGACUAGCUAAUACCGCAUACGAUCUACGGAUGAAAGUGGGGGACCGCAAGACCUCAUGCUCCUGGAGCGGCCGAUAUCUGAUUAGCUAGUUGGUGGGGUAAAAGCCUACCAAGGCAACGAUCAGUAGCUGGUCUGAGAGGACGACCAGCCACACUGGGACUGAGACACGGCCCAGACUCCUACGGGAGGCAGCAGUGGGGAAUUUUGGACAAUGGGGGCAACCCUGAUCCAGCAAUGCCGCGUGAGUGAAGAAGGCCUUCGGGUUGUAAAGCUCUUUUGUCAGGGAAGAAACGGUAGUAGCGUAUAACUAUUACUAAUGACGGUACCUGAAGAAUAAGCACCGGCUAACUACGUGCCAGCCGCCGCCGUAA
rnacentral:rRNA from 1 species